rnacentral:rRNA from 1 species
CCACCCUUGUAGUGUUGAUGUUCUAACGUCGACCCCUUAUCGGGGUUGCGGACAGUGCCUGGUGGGUAGUUUGACUGGGGCGGUCUCCUCCCAAAGAGUAACGGAGGAGCACGAAGGUGGGCUAAUCACGGUUGGACAUCGUGAGGUUAGUGCAAUGGCAUAAGCCCGCUUGACUGCGAGAAUGACAAUUCGAGCAGGUGCGAAAGCAGGUCAUAGUGAUCCGGUGGUUCUGAAUGGAAGGGCCAUCGCUCAACGGAUAAAAGGUACUCCGGGGAUAACAGGCUGAUACCGCCCAAGAGUUCAUAUCGACGGCGGUGUUUGGCACCUCGAUGUCGGCUCAUCACAUCCUGGGGCUGAAGUCGGUCCCAAGGGUAUGGCUGUUCGCCAUUUAAAGUGGUACGCGAGCUGGGUUUAGAACGUCGUGAGACAGUUCGGUCCCUAUCUGCCGUGGGCGUUGGAAGAUUGAAGGGGGCUGCUCCUAGUACGAGAGGACCGGAGUGGACGAACCUCUGGUGUUCGGGUUGUGUCGCCAGACGCAUUGCCCGGUAGCUAAGUUCGGAAUCGAUAACCGCUGAAAGCAUCUAAGCGGGAAGCGAGCCCUGAGAUGAGUCUUCCCUGAUACUUUAAG